CUGGAAAUGGCCAUACAAGUUAGAAAUGUAUCAUUUCUGUUUGAACCAAGUGAAUGAAGUUUUCAACAGUUUUCCAGGUCAGAUAAACGGAUGACUGUUGUGUCAGUGUUACCACCUCAGCAUCAGAGGGUUAUUCACACCACUUACAUUAGCCAGACAGCUCAGCCAAAAAUCAGGUUGGCUAGGACCACUCUGGAGCACACUGGCAGGGGAAAAGCAGCUCUAGGAAGAAGAAUCCUCAGGACAGUGUAGGAGCACCACACAUGUAAGAAGCUCUGGAAAAUCCCAGCAGACUGGAGAGGAACCCUUUGACUGCAGGAUUUUAUUACUUAAGACACCACAAAACAGCACCAACCAAGGGACAGGACUUCCAGUUGAUGAAUGGGCAUGGCAUUGCUCCUGUAGGCUUCACCACAGAGACGAGGCGGAGAAGGAAAGCACCUUGAGAUGUUCCAUGGCAGGAGAAGCUGUAUCGCAAUACCACUCUUAUUGGAUGCUUGUUUUCCCUGCUCUAGAAGGCAGUUCUAAAAGGAGGGCUCCCCAGCUUCACAGACAUUCUUGUCAUGUUCCUAGCUAUCCUACUGUGACUUCUUGAUUUCUAAUUUUCUCUGCAGUUUACGACCAAUACUUCAUGUUUUGUUCACCACAGAUACAGAGAUCAUUUCCUCCUCUUUCCACUUGAAAAAUGUUAUCCUGUCCCUUAAGUCUGCUCUCCUUUUAUCGUCUUAAACUAUUUCCUUAGUUCACAUUUACUAGAUAUCACCACCUUGCUAUAUUCAUAGAAUCAUAGAAUUAUAGAAUGGUUUAGGUUGGAGGGGACCUUAAAGAUCAUCUAGUUCCAUCCAUGCCAUGGGCAGGGUUGCCAACCACUAGAUCAGGCUACCCAGGAACUCAUCUUGGGAUACUCCAUCCUCUCCAAGUGAUCUCUGGCUUUUUUAAAGUGCAAUGCCUGAUACUGGAUAUGAAAUAGGUUUACCAGCAGAAGGAUUAUUUAAUGUCUUUGUCGUUUACACAUUCAUCUGAGGACGGACUUUCUCCGUUUCACAACAGGCUGAUAUUGCUCACACGUGCUUAGUUCAUGAUUCAACAUAGUUCCUAGAUCCUUUCUGAAAGAAAUAAAAGUUUUUCAUCCUAUAUUUAAUAAAUCAUUUUUUCCAACUGCUAUGCAUGAUGCUCUAUGGAAGUCCAUACUAUUUUUAGGAAAUGUC
ensembl:lncRNA